ACGAACGCUGGCGGCGUGCUUAACACAUGCAAGUCGAACGGAAAGGCCCUGCUUUUGUGGGGUGCUCGAGUGGCGAACGGGUGAGUAACACGUGAGUAACCUGCCCUUGACUUUGGGAUAACUUCAGGAAACUGGGGCUAAUACCGGAUAGGAGCUCCUGCUGCAUGGUGGGGGUUGGAAAGUUUCGGCGGUUGGGGAUGGACUCGCGGCUUAUCAGCUUGUUGGUGGGGUAGUGGCUUACCAAGGCUUUGACGGGUAGCCGGCCUGAGAGGGUGACCGGGCACAUUGGGUCUGAGAUACGGCCCAGACUCCUUCGGGGGGCAGCCGUGGGGAAUAUUGCACAAUGGGCGGCAGCCUGAUGCAGCAACGCCGCGUGCGGGAUGACGGCCUUCGGGUUGUAAACCGCUUUCGCCUGUGACGAAGCGUGAGUGACGGUAAUGGGUACAGAAGCACCGGCUAACUACGUG
rnacentral:rRNA from 1 species